rnacentral:rRNA from 1 species
UACGGAGGGUGCAAGCGUUAUCCGGAUUCACUGGGUUUAAAGGGUGCGUAGGUGGAAUUGUAAGUCAGUGGUGAAAGCCCCGAGCUUAACUUGGGAAUUGCCAUUGAUACUGCUUUUCUUGAAUACGGUUGAGGUGAGUAGAAUAUGUCAUGUAGUGGUGAAAUACUUAGAUAUGACAUAGAAUACCGAUUGCGAAGGCAGCUCACUAAGCCGUUAUUGACGCUGAGGCACGAAAGCGUGGGGAUCAAACAGGAUUAGAUACCCUGGUAGUCCACGCCCUAAACGAUGUUUACUCGAUACUGGCGAUACACUGUCAGUGUCCAAGCGAAAGCGUUAAGUAAACCACCUGGGGAGUACGACCGCAAGGUUGAA